rnacentral:rRNA from 1 species
UACGAGAGGCCAAACGUUAUUCGGAAUUACUGGGCUUAAAGAGUUCGUAGGCGGCGCGGAAAGUGGGGUGUGAAAGCCCUCGGCUCAACCGAGGAAUUGCGCUCCAAACUGCCGUGCUUGAGGGACCUAGAGGUGAGGCGGAAACUGAUGGUGGAGCGGUGAAAUGCGUUGAUAUCAUCAGGGAACACCGGGAGGCGAAGGCGGCUCAGCUGGGGGUCUUCUGACGCUGAGGAACGAAAGCCAGGGGAGCGAACGGG